rnacentral:rRNA from 1 species
UACCAGCACCCCGAGUGGUCGGGACGAUUAUUGGGCCUAAAGCAUCCGUAGCCGGUCAUGCAAGUCCUCCGUUAAAUCCACCUGCUUAACAGAUGGGCUGCGGAGGAUACUACAAGGCUAGGAGGCGGAAGAGGCAAGCGGUACUCAGUGGGUAGGGGUAAAAUCCUCUGAUCCAUUGAAGACCACCAGUGGCGAAGGCGGCUUGCCAAUACGCGCUCGACGGUGAGGGAUGAAAGCUGGGGAGCAAACCGG